rnacentral:rRNA from 1 species
UUCCGGUUGAUCCUGCCGGACCUGACUGCUAUCGGAUUGAUACUAAGCCAUGCGAGUCAUUGUAGUAAUACAAGGCAGACGGCUCAGUAACGCGUAGUCAACCUACCCUAUGGACGGGGAUAACCUCGGGAAACUGAGAAUAAUACCCGAUAGAACAUUAUACCUGGAAUGGUUUAUGUUUCAAAUAAUUUAUUGCCGUAGGAUGGGACUGCGGCCUAUCAGUUUGUUGGUGAGGUAAUGGCCCACCAAGACUAUUACAGGUACGGGCUCUGAGAGGAGUAGCCCGGAGAUGGGUACUGAGGCACGGACCCAGGCCCUAUGGGGCGCAGCGGGCGAGAAAACUUUGCAAUGUGCGAAAGCACGACAAGGUUAAUCCGAGUGGUUUCUGCUAAAGGAACCUUUUGUCAGUCCUAGAAACACUGGUGAAUAAGGGGUGGGCAAGUUCUGGUGUCAGCCGCCGCGGUAAAACCAGCACCUCAAGUGGUCAGGAGGAUUAUUGGGCCUAAAGCAUCCGUAGCCGGCUCUGUUAGUUUUCGGUUAAAUCCAUACGCUCAACGUAUGGGCCGCCGGGAAUACUGCACAGCUAGGGAGUGGGAGAGGUAGACGGUACUCGGUAGGAAGGGGUAAAAUCCUUUGAUCUAUUGAUGACCACCAGUGGCGAAGGCGGUCUACCAGAACACGUCCGACGGUGAGGGAUGAAAGCUGGGGGAGCAAACCGGAUUAGAUACCCGGGUAGUCCCAGCUGUAAACUAUGCAAACUCGGUGAUGCGUUGGCUUGUAGCCAGUGCAGUGCCGCAGGGAAGCCGUUAAGUUUGCCGCCUGGGAAGUACGUACGCAAGUAUGAAACUUAAGGAAUUGGCGGGGGAGCACCACAAGGGGUGAAGCCUGCGGUUCAAUUGGAUUCAACGCCGGA